UACGUAGGGUGCAAGCGUUGUCCGGAAUUAUUGGGCGUAAAGAGCUCGUAGGCGGUUCGUCACGUCGGCUGUGAAAUCCCGAGGCUCAACCUCGGGUCUGCAGUCGAUACGGGCGGACUUGAGUACUGCAGGAGAGACUGGAAUUCCUGGUGUAGCGGUGAAAUGCGCAGAUAUCAGGAGGAACACCGGUGGCGAAGGCGGGUCUCUGGGCAGUAACUGACGCUGAGGAGCGAAAGCGUGGGGAGCGAACAGG
rnacentral:rRNA from 1 species